rnacentral:rRNA from 1 species
UACGAAGGGGGCUAGCGUUGCUCGGAAUCACUGGGCGUAAAGCGCACGUAGGCGGAUCUUUAAGUCAGGGGUGAAAUCCUGGAGCUCAACUCCAGAACUGCCUUUGAUACUGGGGAUCUCGAGUCCGGGAGAGGUGAGUGGAACUGCGAGUGUAGAGGUGAAAUUCGUAGAUAUUCGCAAGAACACCAGUGGCGAAGGCGGCUCACUGGCCCGGUACUGACGCUGAGGUGCGAAAGCGUGGGGAGCGAACAGG